rnacentral:lncRNA from 1 species
CUUUUAUCACAAUUAUAGGCUCUUAGAAAUGGCAGUGAGUGAGUGUUGGCUUGUUCAUAUAGUUCCAGAUUUUCAGACUGCAUAGGGAUCCAGAAUUAUGAUGAAGUUUUCCUCUGAAAUCUAUUUUGAGCAUUCUAAAAAAUGCUAAGUUAACACACAUCAACUCUGAAAGCUUCAACUUGUGAGAUAUGGCCAAUGCUUUUCCAAUCUACUCUUUAGGUAGUAGUCAGCUUUGGAAAUAUAAGCCAUGUUCUGUUGCAGAAUUUGGAUUUGGUUUUAAAAUUAGCUUAAUUUCUUUCUCUGAUAAGCAUUGAAAAAGAGCCAAACCCUUAGCUGUCAAGUUACUUCUCCACGCUGCUUGAUCUACUUAUAAAAUCAUGAUAUGCCCAAUCUCAAUAUUAAAAUUGUGCCAUUUUUGUCAGGAGGUGAUAGGUUCGGGAUAUAUCUCUGAGAUAUACAGCUUGAGCAAGCUGGUAUAAACCAUCUUUUCUGGUGCUAUGAAUUUCUGAAGAGAUGUUUUUAUCUUGCCUAGCUUUCCAAAGCCUUCUGUGAGCACCUGCUCCCUGAACAGCUAGGAUUCUUCAGUGGACAAGGCAGUCCUGCUCCCUCUCUCAGGUUUUCUGCACAGUACACUGAGCAGGUCAUCCCAGGUUACCAUUGCUGGCAACUUGGAGUUCUAGGAUUCAGAGUGAAAUUCAGCCUCACAAUUAUCCCACCUGGAAGUGAGGGAUUUGGGAUAUUUAUAUGCAACUUCCUUGAGUCAUGGGUUGAUGGCUGCUCUCAGGUGGCACCAACUCCCUGGAACUUCCAGCCUGCCAAUCAAGAAGUGGAACUCAGACCUUGGUCAAAAAGGCCUCAGGAAAAAAGAAGCAGACACUGUCAUUUGGAAACAUACCAGUGAAACAGAAAUGGGAAGGUGAAGGGAAGGGAUAGGCAAAUACUGUAUCUCAUACAAAUACUAGUGUCCUUUAAAAGCAAUCAGAACCCUGUCGGAGAGCUUAUUCCAGGUCUUAGGGCAGGGACCAUGCAUAUAGUUUUGGAAAUAAUUAUUGUCAGACAACAGGCACAUGUUAAAGGAUUUUGAGGCACUAUUAAAAAGACAAAAUUGUGAGGGUUUAAGCAUCAAAAUAAUUAUGAUAAUUGUGGCUAAUUGGAAAUAAAUUGAGUCUAUACAAGGCCAUUAUUUCAUGAUAAUAUGAAGUACACAGGACAUACUCAUAACCAUGAAAGUAUGGUGAAUAGAAUAGGGCAUAUUUAAUUGUUUUUAUUUAAAUAAACGGGAAUGCUAAUAUAUGUGGGUAUGUUGUUACUGCUACUUAACAUACAUCUGUUUAGGGAGUAUUGAUAGGUACUAUGUCCAUCUGAUAUGGUUUGGCUGUGUCCCCACCUAAAUCUCAUCUUGAAUUGUAGUUCCAGUAAUCCCCACAUGUUGUGGGAAGGACCUGGUGAGAGGUAAUUUAAUCAUGGGGGCAGUUACCCGCAUGCUGUUCUCAUGCUAGUGAGUGAGUUCUUGGGACAUCUGAUGGUUUUAUAAGUGAUUUCCCCUCUUUUCCUCAGCAUUUCUUGCUGCCACCAUGUGAAAAAGGACAUGUUUGCUUCCCCUUCCACCAUGAGUGUAUGUUUCCUGAAACUUUCAACCAUGCUGCACUGUGAGUCAAUUAAACCUCUGUCCUUUAUAAUUUACCCAGUCUCCGGUAUGUCUUUAUUAGCAGUCUGAGAAUGGACGAAUAUACCAUCCAAACACAGAGUAUUCUAAGUACAGUCCCGCUAAAAGUAGCAGGGAGGAAAUUGAGCUCAGAAUCAGCAUCAGUGAUUACACAAAAUAACCAAAGAGAAUAGGGGCUUGACAGUGUGCUCAAGAUGAUAAAUUAGCCAAAUGAGCUAAAGACAGGUAAUGGCUGAGAACUCGGUUGUUCCCAGUCUCUGAGGAGACACAACCUCUGGAUGGCCCUGUUAAUAAAAGUAAUCAUUGUAAAUAUAUAAAAAUGUUAAAAUAUUAACAGCACAGCUCUAUGUAUUAGGACAAAUCAUGUAUUAUGAUAAAUCUUGUCAUACUUUAAAAGUAUAUCUUGUAACAUAACCAACUGGAGGAAAUAAUUAUUGUAACUGACCUUAGAAUGUAGCAUUUGACUAUAGAUGCUGACGUGCAAGUCUUAACCUCCAGUUAGUCUUGGUAUUAUUAGUGAAAAUACAUUUAUAUUACAGAAAAAAAGCAAUUCCUAACCUUGUUAACAAUCGAUAUUUUCAGAGAGGAAGAAAGAGGAAUUAAUGGAUACUAGAACCAUUAGGCGAAAUGCUGAUGGAGAAUAUCUUAUACUUUGUUACAUAUUUGUCUGUUUGGAAAGUUUUGUAAUAAAAAAUGUUCAGGAUUUUUUUUAGAAAAAGACAUCAGGUUGUACAGAAGUAAAGCCUGUAUGAAAGGUACAAAUUUUUAAAAUUUGGAGAGAAGAAAUUGAGAAAAGAAAUUAAGUUUCUUGACUUAAACAAUAAACAAUCCAUCAAAAACCUGUACACUUGAUUUUUCUGGUGAAUCUAUAGCAAACCUGAGAAGGUGUCAAGUAAAACCCUGAGAAGACAUUGCAGUAGUAUGGCACUAAUCCCAGGAAGAUAUAAAAACAUAUACAGUAAGGAAAUGAAUCAAAUUCAUGGUGUUUAUAGUUCACAAUAAGUUUAAAUGUGUGCUUGCUAACACACUUUGUAACUGUCGGAUCUACGUAUGUUUUAGUGUACCGAGAUCUGACAAAUGCAAAAGUAUUAAUCAUGCUAAAUUGUAAUUGCAACUUUGUACAAAAACAAUUAAAUCUGUAAUCAAUGUUUAAAUGGCCAAAAAUGAUUUUUACAUCAAAAAACUAGAAAGAUUUCAAAUGGACAACAUGAUGCAUCGAAAGAAAUUAGAAAAGCAAGCACAAACCAACUGCAAAUUAAUAAAGGAACGAUAUAAUAAAAAUUAGAGCAGAACAAAAUGAAAUUAAAACUAAAAAAUACAGGAUACUAGAGGCUGGGAAGGGUAGGGAGAAGGCAGGGAUAGGGAGAGAUUAAAGGAAACAAAAUUAGAGCCCAAUAGAAGGAAUAAGUUCUUGUGUUCUGUUCCACUGUAGGAUGACUACAGUUAACAAUACGUAGUUUUAUUUUAUUUUAUUUUUAUUUGUUUUUUUGAGACGGAGUUUCACUCGUUACCCAGGCUGGAGUGCAAUGGCGCCAUCUCAGCUCACUGCAACCUCCGCCUCCUGGGUUCAGGCAAUUCUCCUGCCUCAGCCUCCUGAGUAGCUGGGAUUACAGGCACGCAUCACCAUGCGCAGCUAAGUUUUUUGUGUUUUUAGUAGAGACGGGGUUUCACCAUGUUGACCUCGUGAUCCACCCGCCUCGGCCUCCCAAAGUGCUGGGAUUACACAAUAUGUAGUUUUAUAUAGGUAGCAGGAGGUUCCCAACACCAAGAUAUAAUAAAUGGUGAUGGAUAUGCUAAUUAUCCUGAUCUGAUCAC